rnacentral:rRNA from 1 species
GGUCAAGUGAAGAAGCGCAUACGGUGGAUGCCUUGGCAGUCAGAGGCGAUGAAAGACGUGGUAGCCUGCGAAAAGCUUCGGGGAGUCGGCAAACAGACUGUGAUCCGGAGAUGUCUGAAUGGGGGAACCCAGCCAUCAUAAGAUGGUUAUCUUACACUGAAUACAUAGGUGUAAGAGGCGAACCAGGGGAACUGAAACAUCUAAGUACCCUGAGGAAAAGAAAUCAACCGAGAUUCCCUUAGUAGUGGCGAGCGAACGUGGACCAGCCCUUAAGUUGUAUUGAGAUUAGCGGAACGCUCUGGAAAGGGCGGCCAUAGUGGGUGAUAGCCCUGUACGCGAAAAUCCCUUUGCAAUGAAAUCGAGUAGGACGGGGCACGAGAAACCUUGUCUGAAUAUGGGGGGACCAUCCUCCAAGGCUAAAUACUACUGACUGACCGAUAGUGAACCAGUACCGUGAGGGAAAGGCGAAAAGAACCGCGGAGAGCGGAGUGAAAUAGAUCCUGAAACCGUAUGCGUACAAGCAGUGGGAGCCCACUUUGUUGGGUGACUGCGUACCUUUUGUAUAAUGGGUCAGCGACUUAUUUUCAGUGGCGAGCUUAACCGAAUAGGGGAGGCGUAGCGAAAGCGAGUCUUAAUAGGGCGUCUAGUCGCUGGGAAUAGACCCGAAACCGGGCGAUCUAUCCAUGGGCAGGUUGAAGGUUGGGUAACACUAACUGGAGGACCGAACCGACUACCGUUGAAAAGUUAGCGGAUGACCUGUGGAUCGGAGUGAAAGGCUAAUCAAGCUCGGAGAUAGCUGGUUCUCCUCGAAAGCUAUUUAGGUAGCGCCUCAUGUAUCACUGUAGGGGGUAGAGCACUGUUUCGGCUAGGGGGUCAUCCCGACUUACCAAACCGAUGCAAACUCCGAAUACCUACAAGUGCCGAGCAUGGGAGACACACGGCGGGUGCUAACGUCCGUCGUGAAAAGGGAAACAACCCAGACCGUCAGCUAAGGUCCCAAAGUCAUGGUUAAGUGGGAAACGAUGUGGGAAGGCUUAGACAGCUAGGAGGUUGGCUUAGAAGCAGCCACCCUUUAAAGAAAGCGUAAUAGCUCACUAGUCGAGUCGGCCUGCGCGGAAGAUGUAACGGGGCUCAAACCAUGCACCGAAGCUACGGGUAUCAUCUUUUGAUGAUGCGGUAGAGGAGCGUUCUGUAAGCCUGUGAAGGUGAGUUGAGAAGCUUGCUGGAGGUAUCAGAAGUGCGAAUGCUGACAUGAGUAACGACAAUGGGUGUGAAAAACACCCACGCCGAAAGACCAAGGUUUCCUGCGCAACGUUAAUCGACGCAGGGUUAGUCGGUCCCUAAGGCGAGGCUGAAAAGCGUAGUCGAUGGAAAACAGGUUAAUAUUCCUGUACUUCUGGUUAUUGCGAUGGAGGGACGGAGAAGGCUAGGCCAGCCUGGCGUUGGUAGUCCAGGUUUAAGGUGGUAGGCUGAGAUCUUAGGUAAAUCCGGGAUCUUAAGGCCGAGAGCUGAUGACGAGUGUUCUUUUAGAACAUGAAGUGGUUGAUGCCAUGCUUCCAAGAAAAGCUUCUAAGCUUCAGGUAACCAGGAACCGUACCCCAAACCGACACAGGUGGUUGGGUAGAGAAUACCAAGGCGCUUGAGAGAACUCGGGUGAAGGAACUAGGCAAAAUGGCACCGUAACUUCGGGAGAAGGUGCGCCGGUGAGGGUGAAGCAUUUACUGCGUAAGCCCACGCCGGUCGAAGAUACCAGGCCGCUGCGACUGUUUAUUAAAAACACAGCACUCUGCAAACACGAAAGUGGACGUAUAGGGUGUGACGCCUGCCCGGUGCCGGAAGGUUAAUUGAUGGGGUUAGCGCAAGCGAAGCUCUUGAUCGAAGCCCCGGUAAACGGCGGCCGUAACUAUAACGGUCCUAAGGUAGCGAAAUUCCUUGUCGGGUAAGUUCCGACCUGCACGAAUGGCGUAACGAUGGCGGCGCUGUCUCCACCCGAGACUCAGUGAAAUUGAAAUCGCUGUGAAGAUGCAGUGUAUCCGCGGCUAGACGGAAAGACCCCGUGAACCUUUACUAUAGCUUUGCACUGGACUUUGAAUUUGCUUGUGUAGGAUAGGUGGGAGGCUUUGAAGCGUGGACGCCAGUCUGCGUGGAGCCAACCUUGAAAUACCACCCUGGCAACUUUGAGGUUCUAACUCAGGUCCGUUAUCCGGAUCGAGGACAGUGUAUGGUGGGUAGUUUGACUGGGGCGGUCUCCUCCUAAAGAGUAACGGAGGAGUACGAAGGUGCGCUCAGACCGGUCGGAAAUCGGUCGUAGAGUAUAAAGGCAAAAGCGCGCUUGACUGCGAGACAGACACGUCGAGCAGGUACGAAAGUAGGUCUUAGUGAUCCGGUGGUUCUGUAUGGAAGGGCCAUCGCUCAACGGAUAAAAGGUACUCCGGGGAUAACAGGCUGAUACCGCCCAAGAGUUCAUAUCGACGGCGGUGUUUGGCACCUCGAUGUCGGCUCAUCACAUCCUGGGGCUGAAGCCGGUCCCAAGGGUAUGGCUGUUCGCCAUUUAAAGUGGUACGCGAGCUGGGUUUAGAACGUCGUGAGACAGUUCGGUCCCUAUCUGCCGUGGACGUUUGAGAUUUGAGAGGGGCUGCUCCUAGUACGAGAGGACCGGAGUGGACGAACCUCUGGUGUUCCGGUUGUCACGCCAGUGGCAUUGCCGGGUAGCUAUGUUCGGAAAAGAUAACCGCUGAAAGCAUCUAAGCGGGAAACUUGCCUCAAGAUGAGAUCUCACUGGAACCUUGAGUUCCCUGAAGGGCCGUCGAAGACUACGACGUUGAUAGGUUGGGUGUGUAAGCGCUGUGAGGCGUUGAGCUAACCAAUACUAAUUGCCCGUGAGGCUUGACCAUAUAACACCC